CUUCAUGAUGAUCUGCCAAAACAUUAGAACCGUUGCGACUGACACGCGCUUGCGCGUGCAUGAUCACACUAUGCUCCAUUUCUGAAC
rnacentral:snoRNA from 1 species